UUGAAUAUGUGAAAAGACUAAAGAUACAAAACAGUCAUUCUCAAGGAGAUGAAACUGAGAUAAAUGACUGGGGAAAUCUGGUAUGAUUGCCAGGUAACUCUUAGGGUCCACUUGAAAUUAUGAUCAUAAAUUUAAUUCAAGUUCAGUAGGACUUGCAUUAAACAUGCAUGGAAUAGGCAAAGAAUUAGAUUAACUGGUACUAUAGUUUAACCAAGUGAGGCUGCUGAAGUGAGAAGGAAGCAAAGGAAUUGAGGAUGUACUUAAGGGAGAAAUGAUAAAAUCUAAGUCUCUACCCCUCAUAUCCCCUGAAACCUUAACCCUUCCACUGAGCUCUGUGGUAGUUAUCAGCAAAAUCCUCAUAUCCUUGACCUCUUCUCAGAAGUUUUCAACUUCUUUCAUCUUCUUAUUUAAACUGAAACUUGUCUCUUUCCUGAAGAUCCUGCUUUCCCCGUAACCCUUUUAGAUGAGGACUCUUUCUCUUCCACACUCCUCAAACAAAAAGCCUGGUAAGUGCCCUUCUUAUUCCUCUCUGCUAAUAUCCAGAACAUUCUACAGUUGUUCUGAAUCACAUACCAGAUUUGACUACCCACUACCUUUCCUAUGGCAGUCAUUUAUGACUCCCCAAGAUCACUACUUUGAUUCUUCGAUAGUUUUAGGGUGUGGCUCACAGUCAUUCUAACACUGCUCUGUUCUAAUUUUUAUUGAUUUUAACAUCCAAACAAUCUGAUAUCCUGGUUUCUUAGUUUCCUAAUCUUAUCUCCACAAAACAUUGAUCUUGUUCUCUACCCUGUCUCAGCCACUUUCUCCAAUGGUUAAACUCUUAAGCCUUUAUACCAUCUAAGGGUACAGUUUAAUAACCACACAUCUGGGGGAGCAUCAUUUAAAAGAAUCUACUGAUGAAUUUGUAGUAAGAUCAUCCCUAUAUAGGCCUACAUUGGCAGAGUUAAGGGAAUGGCAAUACAUCAGGCAUAAGACCACACUCUGCGGGAAUUCAUGCUACCAUCAACAGAUAACAAAAGGCAAGUAGAGAACUAGACAUCUUUUGUUGUUGCAGCUUAUCUUGGGUCUACGUUCCUUAAGUUGCAGGAAUGGUGUAUGUAUGUAUGUAUGUAUGUAUGAAUGAAAGGUUGGAGUAGAGACAAAAGUAUCUUGUUAUGAUGACCCUUCUUUCAUCAGGCACUCAAAGG
rnacentral:lncRNA from 1 species